rnacentral:rRNA from 1 species
GACGAACGCUGGCGGCGUGCCUAAUACAUGCAAGUCGAGCGGACGGAUGGGAGCUUGCUCCCAGACCGUCAGCGGCGGACGGGUGAGUAACACGUGGGCAACCUGCCUGUAAGACUGGGAUAACUCCGGGAAACCGGGGCUAAUACCGGAUAACUCUUUCCCUCACAUGAGGGAAAGCUGAAAGAUGGCAUCUCGCUAUCACUUACAGAUGGGCCCGCGGCGCAUUAGCUAGUUGGUGAGGUAACGGCUCACCAAGGCGACGAUGCGUAGCCGACCUGAGAGGGUGAUCGGCCACACUGGAACUGAGACACGGCCCAGACUCCUACGGGAGGCAGCAGUAGGGAAUCUUCCGCAAUGGACGAAAGUCUGACGGAGCAACGCCGCGUGAGUGAUGAAGGUUUUCGGAUCGUAAAACUCUGUUGUCAGGGAAGAACAAGUACCGGAGUAACUGCCGGUACCUUGACGGUACCUGACCAGAAAGCCACGGCUAACUACGUG